AUGAUGACGUCACAAUGCCUACCCAUGGGAAACUUGUCUUCACAGGACAGACUUCAAAUUGUGUUACUUCAACAGACCUCACAUUUGCAAACCUCCGAAAUGAUCUUCUUUCUGGGCAUAUUACUUAUGGACCUAUCAGGUAACGCCUAUGGGAACAAAAUCACUCCAAUCAGUGAUGAACUCGACAUGGUUGAGGGACAUAAUUCAACCCUCUCCUGUAACAUUAGUUAUAGCUUUGGAGACUAUCCACAGUGGUAUCGACAGUACCCAAGAUCAGCACCUCAGUUUCUCUUGUUCAUCCUUAGUGAUAAGACAGAAACAUCAAAUGUGGAUCCUCGAUUCUCUGGGAGAAUGAAUAAGGAGAAAAGUCAAAUGUUCCUGGAGCUCACUGCAGAACUCACAGACUCUGCUCUCUACUACUGUGCCAUGAGGCCCACAGUGAAGGAAAUGGGCUAACUGUUGUACAAAAACUCACAUGGCAUGACAUCAGAUGAAAUACACCAUAUCUUACUCUGCAUGGAGGUCAACAUGAUGUUUAAGCCUAUAUACAGUAGAUUAAAGUAAUCAAAUGAAUACAUAGAAGUUUAUUCAUGUUUAUCCAUUGCAUUCAAAUUUAUGAUCCAUCAAAUUGAUUAUUUAACCCCCUGUUUACUGAACCUCUGUAAGAGCCA